UCAGAACGAACGCUGGCGGCGUGCCUAACACAUGCAAGUCGAGCGAGAAAGUCCCUUCGGGGGCAAGUAGAGCGGCGGACGGGUGAGUAAUGCCUAGGAAUCUGCCUGGUAGUGGGGGAUAACGCUCGGAAACGGACGCUAAUACCGCAUACGUCCUACGGGAGAAAGCAGGGGACCUUCGGGCCUUGCGCUAUCAGAUGAGCCUAGGUCGGAUUAGCUAGUUGGUGAGGUAAUGGCUCACCAAGCCUUUUACCGGUGCGGGCCGUGGGAGCGGGAGCCCGGAGAUGGGCACUGAGACAAGGGCCCAGGCCCUACGGGGCGCAGCAGUCGCGAAAAUUUCGCAAUAAGCGAAAGCUUGACGGGGCCAUCCCGAGUGCCGUCUGCUGAAGACGGCUUUUACCCAGUAUAGAUCGCUGGGAGAAUAAGGAGAGGGCAAGUCUGGUGUCAGCCGCCGCGGUAAUACCAGCUCUCCGAGUGGUGUGGAGGAUUAUUGGGCCUAAAGCAUCCGUAGCUGGCUGGGCAAGUCCCCUGUUAAAUCCAGCGAUUCAAUCGUUGGCGUGCGGGGGAUACUGUUCGGCUAGGGGGCGAGAGAGGCCGUCGGUAUUCUCGGGGUAGGGGUGAAAUCCUAUAAUCCCAGGAGGACCACCAGUGGCGAAGGCUGUCGGCUAGAACGCGCUCGACGGUGAGGGAUGAAAGCUGGGGGAGCGAACCGGAUUAGAUACCCGGGUAGUCCCAGCUGUAAACGAUGCAGGCUAGGUGUUAGGGCGGCUACGUGCCGCUCUGGUGCCGCAGGGAAGCUGUUAAGCCUGCCGCCUGGGGAGUACGGUCGCAAGGCUGAAACUUAAAGGAAUUGGCGGGGGAGCACCACAAGGCGUGAAGCUUGCGGUUUAAUUGGAGUCAACGCCGGAAAUCUCACCGGGGGCGACAGCAGGAUGAAAGCCAGAUUAAAGGUCUUGCCAGACGAGCUGAGAGGAGGUGCAUGGCCGUCGCCAGUUCGUGCCGUGAGGUGUCCUGUUAAGUCAGGCAACGAUCGAGACCCGCAUUCCCCGUUGCUACCAGCCUUGAGCUGGGCACACUGGGAACACCGCCGUCGAUAAGACGGAGGAAGGAGCGGGCCACGGCAGGUCAGUAUGCCCCGAAUCUCCCGGGCCACACGCGAGCUGCAAUGGCAGGUACAAUGGGUUCCGACCUCGAAAGGGGAAGGCAAUCUCGAAAGCCUGCCGUAGUUGGGAUCGAGGGUUGAAACCCACCCUCGUGAACAUGGAAUCCCUAGUAAUCGCGCGUCACUAGCGCGCGGUGAAUACGUCCCUGCUCCUUGCACACACCGCCCGUCGUUCCAUCCGAGCGACUCUUGGGUGAGGCGUGGUCUUUGUUGGCUGCGUCGAAUCUAGGUUUUGUAAGGAGAGAUCGGAAGAGCGUCGUGUAGGGAA
rnacentral:rRNA from 1 species